UACAGAGGUCUCAAGCGUUGUUCGGAUUCAUUGGGCGUAAAGGGUGCGUAGGCGGCGCGGUAAGUCGGGUGUGAAAUCUUGGAGCUUAACUCCCGAACUGCAUUCGAUACUGCCGUGCUUGAGGACUGGAGAGGAGACUGGAAUUUACGGUGUAGCGGUGAAAUGCGUAGAUAUCGUAAGGAAGACCAGUGGCGAAGGCGGGUCUCUGGACAGUUCCUGACGCUGAGGCACGAAGGCCAGGGGAGCAAACGGG
rnacentral:rRNA from 1 species